CGGGGCAGCCAGGCGACCGCGCGCCACGCAAGUGGCUCGAGGAACGUCCGGGCUCCACAGGGCAGGGUGGUGGGUAACGCCCACUCGGGGUAACCCGCAGGCCAGUGCCACAGAAAACAGACCGCCGUGCUCCGCGUUUACGCGGAACACAGGUAAGGGUGAAACGGUGGUGUAAGAGACCACCAGCUUCCCGGGUGACCGGGAAGGCUAGGUAAACCCCACCCGGAGCAAGGCCAGACAGGACACGUUCGAGGGCUGCCCGCCCGAGUGUCCGGGUAGGCCGCUGGAGGGCGCCGGCAACGGCGUCCGUAGAUGGAUGGUCGCCUCUUCCCGGCCGGCAACGGCCCGGAAUGACAGAACCCGGCGUAUCGGCUGCCCCGUCCC
rfam:Arthrobacter cupressi strain SW1 SW1_scaffold_1, whole genome shotgun sequence.